CUCUCUGUUUUCCUCUCCUUUUUCUGCUUAUUUCUUUGCAUCUGACAGACAGCUUUCUGUCUGUCUUAGUUUGCUUUCAGUUGCUGUGAUAAACACUGACCCAGAGCAGCUAAGAGGAAGAAGGGGUUUACUUCAUUUUUACAGCUUACGGCCCAUAUCAAGGGAGAUCAAGGCAGGAGCUGAAGAAGAAACCACGGAGGAAUCUCCAAAAUAAGAGAAUAAAAUCAGACCGUGCUGAAAGCACAGCUAAGACUGUGACCCCGUAGGAGUCAGACAGAGCAAGAAGAACCUGAAUCAUGAUUCCGGAAACUAGGCUAAGGGUCAAAAAACAGCUGAGCUACUGAUCAACCAAAGGAGCAGCUGAUAAAUUCCCAGUUCCAGUCUUGAGGGAACAGCAUGGAAGAGGAGGCCCUUGAAUGUGUUUCUCCUUUGCAAACUGGAAACUGUUUCCUACUGAAGUUGUCUGCAGAGUUGUGUCAUCCAGGAUGACCACACGGAGGCACUGAGUUGGUCAGCAAGGUCAAUACUGGCUUGAGAGCAAGCCCCCGUUGCAGACCUACUCUGUGGAGCUGCAGAUGGAGAAUACAGAGUUUGACCAAAUGGCUUCAUGAAAAUGUUCUCACGGAGCGAUGACUUGGACAGCUAUGGGCAGGUUAGGAGACCGUGGGCAUGGUAAGGCUCUGUCACCAUUCUUGGGACUAAAGGACAGGGAGGGAAUAGUGGCCCAAGAGCGGAGUGAAAACCAGAACCAGGGAAGAAGUAAAGGAAAACAGAGACAGCUAGAAAGAUGGUAUCGUAGCAAACAGGAAGUAGAGAAAAAAAUAUCCUAGCCUUUCUCUCACUUUGCCUCUUCUCUCCCAGGUUUUAAGUCUAUUUAGAAACCAAAAGGCAGAGGAUCCUGGGCCCCAGUAUUUGCAGGGUUCAGUCUUAUAACCAGGAGCAAGGAGGAUGAGAAAGACUAGGGAAAGGUGGUGCUGGUAGUGGAGAACCACCCAUGUAUUGGUUACUUUUCUAAUUGCUGCAACAAAAUAGCCAACAAAAGGGGGGAAUUGCUUUGAGGAAUAGUUUGAGGACAGAUUUCAUCACCAGGGAAGGAAUGACAGAAGGCGAAGAAGGCAGCUAGUCACAUUGUGUCCACAGUGAGGAAACAGGUGAACACUAGUACUUAGUGUGCUUUCUCCUUUUGAUUCAGACUAGGACCUGGACUUAGGGAAUGGUGCCACCCACUUUGAGGGUUGGUCUUCCCAUCUCAAUCCAAUCUAGACCCUGCCAUAUUGCCAUUACAACUUCAAAACUGCCCUCUUCAUCUGCUGCCCUUGCUGCUGACUGAGAGAUGUCUCCCAGAGGUCAGCCUGCAUCUGGGGCUUUGCUCAGCCCUCUCCCAGUGUAUGCGCACUGAUCUUCCAGGGAGGUUCGCCCAUGCUCAGAACAAGCACAGAAACUUCUCUUAAGGCCAAAUACAAAUGGCUUUUGGAUUUCUCACCAUUUGGCUUCAUUAUUUGCACCAUUGCUUCUGUCUAUCACUGAGGAGAGCCGGGAGGUAUUUGGAUUGUCCUUGGCUUUCCAGGAUGACCUUGUAUAGGGCCGAUUACAAAGGGCUCACAAAGAUGUGUGAAUGUCACUUCACUCUUCACUCUGGCUCAGCAAAGCUUAAUCUUUGGCUUGUUACUGGAACCCUGAACUGAAGAACCUGUCACUGCACAUGGGUCUCACACGCCAAAGGGUUCAGUGGGGCCUGACAGUAAAAGAAUGAGCAUAGGCUGUGAACACCAGGGAAAUGUCUCCAGACGAGCAGGGGGAGGAGAUUUGAGCCUAUCUGUGCCAGCUGGAAGAAAAACCCAAAUAAUGGGAAAGAGGAGAUGUCACGGAGGCCCCAGGUAUAUUGAAUCAAGUUCAAGUCAGAGUAUGCAGGCUAGGGUUAGACUCAGAUAUGUAGAAGGUCUCAAUGGGGCCAAGGAGCUGGAACCCCAAGCCUCUUGCUCACUCCCACAGGAGCUCAGGUUUCUGGACACAUCGUCCCUGUGGACUGAGAUCCACCACCCAGCCCUGGAGAGGCUGAGAGCUGAUCUGUGCUCAGCAAUGGUGGACAGACACAAUGGUGGGGAAGUCACAUUGGAGGAGAAACAAGUGUCCCUAAGCUUAGAUGGCUUCAGUCAGGCCCCUAUUAGGGCUUUGUGACGCUGGAGGGGGCCCCUGUACCCCCAGGACUCCCUCUACUUAUCGUCAGCGAGGCCUCACCUUUCUUUCCCAGUCCCCUUUGAAUCCUCACUCUCUUUUGACGAGGAAACUUCAUUGGCUCGAAGGUGGGAAGGCAACAGAAGCACCAGUCUGUGAAUUCUGAUUAAAAUCUGUCGGUGAGGACAGGGGUUCUCACUCUGCUCAAAUCCAGGUUUGAUUCAUGUGCUCGUUCUAGACCCUGCAUUCUUCCCAGAACAAUAUGAUGCUCUGAUGGGUUGGAGUGGGAGUACAGGUACCUCCACCCCGACAAUGCAGAAUGACAGUGGGGAUUAUUGCCGGAAGGACGAGGAAGAUGAUCUCAGGUGUGGCCUCUGUAGCCUUGGGUCCCUCUCUACAGCUUUGAAGCCCUCUGCUUCUAACUCCCACGAUUACCUUCAUUUAUUUAUUUAUUUAUUUAUUUAAUGCAUAUGAGUACACUGUAGCUAGCUGU
rnacentral:sRNA from 1 species